rnacentral:tRNA from 1 species
GGUAGGGUGGUCGAAUUAGGCGUGAGGCUGUAAACCCCACUAUGGGAAUUGUUUCCCCCCUACCAUG